rnacentral:lncRNA from 1 species
AACAGUUAGUAUUGGACGGACUCUUUUGAACUCAUUAUAAAAGGGUUUUUCUGAAAAUUACUGGUAUAGAAUAUUAUACUUUAAUAUGGGGUUGUUUAAAAGUGUUUCUUUAUGGUUUUCGAGGCAUUAAGGGCAAAAUAAGAUAAUAAUAAUAAAAUAUAAAAUAUUCUGAUAUUUCAGUAACAUUUAUUUAUUUUUAUUUUUAAACACAUUUAUUUAUUUAUUUAUCUGGAAGCUUUUUAUCACCCUUAGCUUGCUUGAUCAUGGAGUGAGCGUUGGCGACUAUAUUGAGGUUGGCGACACCGAGGCUGGUGGUGGUGGGGAUGAAGUUGGUGGUGGUGGGGAUGGAGGUGGUGGGGAUGGAGGUGGUGGGGAUGGAGAUGGGGGUGGUGGGGAUGGUGGUGUUUUAUUUGGUGGUGGGAAGCAACUGUUACAAGGAGGGGCCAUAAUCAUUAUGGACAAAGUAAUGACAUACACCAUGGCUAAUGAAACCUUUGAACAACUUGCCAUCUUCCACUUUUUGCAAAUUUAUUUUAAAAAAUAUAUUACAGUGCCUAUUAAUUUAUA